CCUACGGGAGGCAGCAGUGGGGAAUAUUGCACAAUGGGCGCAAGCCUGAUGCAGCCAUGCCGCGUGUAUGAAGAAGGCCUUCGGGUUGUAAAGUACUUUCAGCAGUGAGGAAGGUGGGUAUGUUAAUAGCAUAUUCAUUUGACGUUAGCUGCAGAAGAAGCACCGGCUAACUCCGUGCCAGCAGCCGCGGUAAUACGGAGGGUGCGAGCGUUAAUCGGAAUUACUGGGCGUAAAGCGCAUGCAGGUGGUUUGUUAAGUCAGAUGUGAAAGCCCGGGGCUCAACCUCGGAAUUGCAUUUGAAACUGGCAAACUAGAGUACUGUAGAGGGGGUAGAAUUUCAGGUGUAGCGGUGAAAUGCGUAGAGAUCUGAAGGAAUACCGGUGGCGAAGGCGGCCCCCUGGACAGAUACUGACACUCAGAUGCGAAAGCGUGGGGAGCAAACAGGAUUAGAUACCCUGGUAG
rnacentral:rRNA from 1 species